AUUGAACGCUGGCGGCAGGCCUAACACAUGCAAGUCGAACGAGUGGCGGACGGGUGAGUAAUGUCUGGGAAACUGCCUGAUGGAGGGGGAUAACUACUGGAAACGGUAGCUAAUACCGCAUACCAUCAGAUGUGCCCAGGUGGGCUUAGCUAUUUGGUGGGGUAACGGCUCACCAAGGCGACGAUCCCUAGCUGGUCUGAGAGGAUGACCGGCCACACUGGAACUGAGACACGGUCCAGACUCCUACGGGAGGCAGCAGUGGGGAAUAUUGGACAAUGGGCGCAAGCCUGAUGCAGCCAUGCCGCGUGUAUGAAGAAGGCCUUCGGUUUGUAAAGUACUUUCAGCGGGGAGGCGUUACCCGCAGAAAAAGCACCGGCUAACUCCGUGCCAGCAGCCGCGGUAAUUC
rnacentral:rRNA from 1 species